CUGGCUCAGAUUGAACGCUGGCGGCAGGCCUAACACAUGCAAGUCGAACGGUAACAGGAAGCAGCUUGCUGCUUCGCUGACGAGUGGCGGACGGGUGAGUAAUGUCUGGGAAACUGCCUGAUGGAGGGGGAUAACUACUGGAAACGGUGGCUAAUACCGCAUAACGUCGCAAGACCAAAGAGGGGGACCUUCGGGCCUCUUGCCAUCAGAUGUGCCCAGAUGGGAUUAGCUUGUUGGUGAGGUAACGGCUCACCAAGGCGACGAUCCCUAGCUGGUCUGAGAGGAUGACCAGCCACACUGGAACUGAGACACGGUCCAGACUCCUACGGGAGGCAGCAGUGGGGAAUAUUGCACAAUGGGCGCAAGCCUGAUGCAGCCAUGCCGCGUGUAUGAAGAAGGCCUUCGGGUUGUAAAGUACUUUCAGCGGGGAGGAAGGUGUUGUGGUUAAUAACCGCAGCAAUUGACGUUACCCGCAGAAGAAGCACCGGCUAACUCCGUGCCAGCAGCCGCGGUAAUACGGAGGGUGCAAGCGUUAAUCGGAAUUACUGGGCGUAAAGCGCACGCAGGCGGUCUGUCAAGUCGGAUGUGAAAUCCCCGGGCUCAACCUGGGAACUGCAUUCGAAACUGGCAGGCUUGAGUCUUGUAGAGGGGGGUAGAAUUCCAGGUGUAGCGGUGAAAUGCGUAGAGAUCUGGAGGAAUACCGGUGGCGAAGGCGGCCCCCUGGACAAAGACUGACGCUCAGGUGCGAAAGCGUGGGGAGCAAACAGGAUUAGGUACCCUGGUAGUCCACGCCGUAAACGAUGUCUACUUGGAGGUUGUGCCCUUGAGGCGUGGCUUCCGGAGCUAACGCGUUAAGUAGACCGCCUGGGGAGUACGGCCGCAAGGUUAAAACUCAAAUGAAUUGACGGGGGCCCGCACAAGCGGUGGAGCAUGUGGUUUAAUUCGAUGCAACGCGAAGAACCUUACCUGGUCUUGACAUCCACAGAAGAAUCCAGAGAUGGAUUUGUGCCUUCGGGAACUGUGAGACAGGUGCUGCAUGGCUGUCGUCAGCUCGUGUUGUGAAAUGUUGGGUUAAGUCCCGCAACGAGCGCAACCCUUAUCCUUUGUUGCCAGCGAUUAGGUCGGGAACUCAAAGGAGACUGCCAGUGAUAAACUGGAGGGAGGUGGGGAUGACGUCAAGUCAUCAUGGCCCUUACGACCAGGGCUACACACGUGCUACAAUGGCGCAUACAAAGAGAAGCGACCUCGCGAGAGCAAGCGGACCUCAUAAAGUGCGUCGUAGUCCGGAUUGGAGUCUGCAACUCGACUCCAUGAAGUCGGAAUCGCUAGUAAUCGUGGAUCAGAAUGCCACGGUGAAUACGUUCCCGGGCCUUGUACACACCGCCCGUCACACCAUGGGAGUGGGUUGCAAAAGAAGUAGGUAGCUUAACCUUCGGGAGGGCGCUUACCACUUUGUGAUUCAUGACUGGGGUGAAGUCGUAACAAGG
rnacentral:rRNA from 1 species